GCUCCUGCCCCUCCUUGCUCAUCUACUGCUAUCGCAGUUUCCAUUGCUGCAGUGUCCACAGUUGCGGUUUCCACUGCUGCAAUGUCCACUCCUGCAGUGUCCACUGCUGCAAUGUCCACUGAUGCGGUUUUCAUUGCUCCAGUUUCUACUGCUGCGGUUUCCACUGCUGCAGUGUCCACCGCUCCAAUUUCCAGUGUUGCAGUUUCCACUGCUGCAGUUUCCGCAGCUGCAGUUUCUACUGCUGCAGUUUUCCGUAUAGCAGUUUUCAUUAUUGUGACUCCCCCUAGUAUAGUUUUUACUGCUACAACUUCCUCUCCCGCAGCUCCAGUGCAAAGAGCAUCGCAGUCUCUUCGACACUCGCCUCCUUUAUUUUGAAAUCUUACCCACUCCACCCCCCUCUCAUCUCUUUCACUGCCUGGCUGCAGACGACUACAUUCCUCCUCACCACCCCCAUCUCCUCCAUGGUCUCGCUUGCGAACAGACUCUCCAGUUUCAAUUGUUCCCAUUGUUCCACCUUCGUUGGUAGGGACAAGUUCAUUUUUUGUGAGUGUUGGUCCUUGGUCUACGCCCGGUGGUUUUUGGGGGCGAUUCGGUGAGGGACCUAGCUAAUGCGUUAAACACUCCACCUGGAAAACUCAAAGCAAUUGACGGAGGCCUGCAAAAGCGGUGGAGCAUGUGGUUUAAUUCGGUACAACUCGCAAAACCUUACCAGCCCUUGACAUAUGAAAGAAACUCCUCGUAAGAGAUGUACUUUGACUUCGUACAGGUGCUGCAUGGUUGUUGUCAGCUCUUGUCGUGAGAUGUUGGGUUAAGUCUUAUAAUGAGCUCAACCCUCGUUUUGUGUUGCUAAGGCAUCGCAACGAUGUGUUGCACUCACAAAAACUGCCAGUGAUGUACUCGAGGAAGGUGGGGAUGACGUCAAGUCCGCAUGGGCUGGGCUACACACGUGCAACAAUGGCAAUGACAAUAGGAAGCAAGGUUUUAAGGCGGGGCGAAUUUUGAAACAUUGCCUCGGUUCGGAUUGUUCUCUGCAGCUCGAGAACAUGAAGUUGGAAUCGCUAGUAAUCCCGGAUCAGCAUGUCGUGGUGAAUAUGUACUCAGGCCUUGUACACACCGCCCGUCACACCAUGGGAAUUUCUUUUGCCUGAAAUCGUCUCUGUGAUAAACCAACGACUUUGAUACGUUACGCACGUCAAGUGCACAACAUGGUUUUCACAUCGUUGAUCAUAGAGACUAUCACGGUCGAAUCAGUGACUGAGAUGAAGUCGUAACAAGGUAGUCGUAGGGGAACCUGCAGCUG
rnacentral:rRNA from 1 species